rnacentral:rRNA from 1 species
UACGUAGGUGGCGAGCGUUGUCCGGAUUUACUGGGCGUAAAGGGAGCGUAGGCGGACUUUUAAGUGAGAUGUGAAAUACUCGGGCUCAACUUGAGUGCUGCAUUUCAAACUGGAAGUCUAGAGUGCAGGAGAGGAGAAUGGAAUUCCUAGUGUAGCGGUGAAAUGCGUAGAGAUUAGGAAGAACACCAGUGGCGAAGGCGAUUCUCUGGGCUGUAACUGACGCUGAGGCUCGAAAGCGUGGGGAGCAAACAGG